rnacentral:misc_RNA from 1 species
CCGCAGUGUUACCAUCGUCAGUGGUGCCAUGCUUGCCAAUAGCAUAUGAAUGCCGUCUAUAAGAUACUGCGUGUCUCCAUCUUCCUCGAGUAUCGUUAAACCGCUGGUUCUCCAAGGCGACGAAGAAGAGGAGAGAACGUCGAAGCAAGAGAAGGGAGAGCGAGCACGGUGCUGAAGCCUGAAAAUCAAUUACCAAUCACGCCUUUGGGUAAAGCCCCAACGCCUCGUGCUCGUCCAACGGAAUAUAAUGGGAG